AUCGAACGCUGGCGGCAGGCCUAACACAUGCAAGUCGAGCGAGCGGCGGACGGGUGAGUAAUGCCUGGGAAAAUGCCUGAUGGAGGGGGAUAACUACUGGAAACGGUAGCUAAUACCGCAUACCCUCAGAUGUGCACAGAUGGGAUUAGCUAGGGGGUGGGGUAACGGCUCACCUAGGCGACGAUCCCUAGCUGGUCUGAGAGGAUGACCAGCCCCACUGGCACGGGGACACGGUCCAGACUCCUACGGGAGGCAGCAGUGGGGAAUAUUGGACAAUGGGCGCAAGCCUGAUGCAGCCAUGCCGCGUGUGUGAAGAAGGCCUUCGGGUUGUAAAGCACUUUCAGCGGGGAGGCGUUACCCGCAGAAGAAGCACCGGCUAACUCCGUGCCAGCAGCCGCGGUAAUUC
rnacentral:rRNA from 1 species